rnacentral:rRNA from 1 species
UACGUAGGGUGCGAGCGUUGUCCGGAAUUACUGGGCGUAAAGAGCUUGUAGGCGGUUUGUCGCGUCUGCCGUGAAAAUUCGAGGCUCAACCUCGAACUUGCGGUGGGUACGGGCAGACUAGAGUGUGGUAGGGGAGACUGGAAUUCCUGGUGUAGCGGUGAAAUGCGCAGAUAUCAGGAGGAACACCGAUGGCUAAGGCAGGUCUCUGGGCCGCUACUGACGCUGAGAAGCGAAAGCAUGGGGAGCGAACAGG